rnacentral:lncRNA from 1 species
CGACUACGGUGAAGUUGUUGGAAUUCCGGCGCCGAGCAGAGAGCAGCAUGAAGCAUGAGCAAUGAGUAGUCUUAAUUUGAAGGUUAGUUAUUAUAAUUGAAGGGUAUAGAGAGAGCAAAUUAAACCUUACAGAAAGCAUUAGGAGCAAAAGAAGCAUCGAGAAAAUCUUCAAAACAGUAACCAGGUAUUGUUUCUAUCAAAUACUCUGAAAUGCUGCUUGUUGAUACUGAACCACUCUCACUACCCAUGUUCUCUUCAACCUUGUUACCAUAACUACUCCCAUUUUCAUUCGAAACCGAUCUCUCUAUUAUAUUUGUUGAUGAUGAUGAUUCUGGAUCCAAAGAAUUGCUUGAAAGCUUCACGCCACUUAGAAGAAACCUGUUAUGUUUCUCUGUAUGUUCAUUUGCUCUGUGAAUUGAAAGGUCACAUUCUCUGCAAACUAUCGCUCUGUCUUCUUGGCAAAAUACAUAUCCACGCUUCUCCUGCAAUAUAACUUCAAAUAUUAUUUUCUUUUCAUUCUAUUAUAUUGUAUGAUAAUCAUCACCAAUGUUUACAUUAUGUUUUUAUGUUGCUGUAAUAGCAACACUACUGUGAUUUUUAUUUUUGUCUGGUAAUUUGAAGUUUGGUCGAGUAUGAAAAGUCUGGUCAAUAAUUAACUGAAAUUUAUUAAUCAUUUUGAUGGAUUUGAUUGCAAUUGUAUGAAAUAGGAAGGAUUGCGAUGAGUGCAGGUGCUAUUUAAAGUUUGAUGGAUUCAUACUUGACAGAUAUCACAAAGAGGGAAUUCUUUGGAGUGAAGGUG